rnacentral:misc_RNA from 1 species
AGCACUAGCCCUACACUCCCAUUUGCAGAGUUGUUUUGUCUCUCCAUUUGCUGGAAAAAAGUUAGAAACUUUGGACUUAAGUGAUGGGAGAUGUUUGUAGGUAUGCAGUUGUUACAGGAGCAAACAAGGGAAUUGGCUUCGAGACUGUCAAACAGCUCGCGAAAUCAGGCGUAACGGUUAUCUUAACAGCCAGAAAUGAAAAGGGAGGAAUGGAAGCAACAUCCUUGCUGAAUGAACAAGGACUUUCGAACGUUGUGUUUCAUCAGCUUGAUGUUCAAGAUGCUAAAAGCAUCGAGUCCUUAGCGAAGUUCAUACAAACACAAUAUGGGAGGCUUGAUAUUCUGGUAAAUAAUGCUGGAGCUUCUGGAGUUGUUGUUGAUGAAGAUGUCCUAAGGGCCUUGAAUGUAGAUCCGGUAGAUUGGUUAGCAGGGAAAGCUGUCAACGUCAUUCAAGUUGCGAUGAAAACAACUUAUGAGAGUGCCAAAUUAUGCUUGGACACUAAUUACUAUGGCGUUAAGAACGUUACUGAAGCUCUUCUUCCGUUGCUGCAAAAUUCUCCUUCAGCAAGAAUUGUUAAUGUUUCCUCCCUUAGAAGUGAGUUAAAGCGAGUACCAAACGAGGAGAGGAGAAAGGAGCUAGGAGAUGUUGAAAACCUGACAGAAGAUAAACUCGACAAGAUUCUGCAGAAUUUUUUGCAUGAUCUGAAACAAGAUGCUCUCGAGGUGAACGGUUGGCAAAUGAUGCUACCAGCAUAUAGCAUAUCAAAAGUCUCACUCAAUGCUUACACUCGAAUUCUUGCUAGAAAGUACCCGAAAAUGUGUAUCAAUUGUGUCCAUCCUGGAUACGUUAACACGGAUAUAAACUGGCAUACAGGAACAAUGCCUGUCGAAGAAGGAGCUGAAGGAUCUGUCAUGCUAGCUCUUUUGCCUGAUGGAGGACCUACUGGUUGCUACUUUGAUCGUACAGUAGUUGACGAGUUUUAGAUACAACAAUAACUAUGCCUCAGUCCCAAACAAGUUGGGGUCAGUCGUGAUGUUUUAGAUAUAACAAUAAGUACGCCUCAGUCCCAAACAAGUUGGGGUCAGUCGUGAUGUUUUAGAUAUAACAAUAAGUACGCCUCAGUCCCAAACAAGUUGGGGUCAGUCGCGAUGUUUUAGAUCAAGUCGUGAAAUAAGACUAUUUGUUUCAGUGUCUCUUGGAAUUUGGUUGAACUUCUGAGCUUGAUUGAUGUUCUAGUGGUUGAAUUAGUAAUUGAAACAAUGAGGGAAGCAAAGGAUAAUAUAAUCAAGUAAUGUGUUGUAUCGAAUCGUACUUGAUGUUUU